CGUAGUAGUUUGAUGUAAUAAUAUUUUCAUCCUUCUGUAACUUGUGGGCUUCAGGUUUCAAGUCUAAUCAACAUGUUGCUCAUAACAAUUUGUUUGAUGUUAAUUGACAUCUCUUACAUUUACCUUAUGAUACGUAUAAAACUAGAGACACUGAUAUUCUGCAGCACUAAUAUUCCAUCUUUUACAUAAUGCGAAGACAUUGGACAUUGUUGCUGAGAAUCCUGAUAAGUUCAGAGUUGUUGCUCUUGCUGCUGGAUCCAAUGUCACGCUUCUAGCUGAUCAGGUACAGUGAUGUUUUGAGUAGAUUCUUUUCCUUUCGCCCUUUUGUCAAUCUUGAAAGAGAAUUUUGCACUCAUUUGAUCAUUAAGCUUGUAAUACAAACUAUGCACUCAUUUGAGCAUUGUGGAUGUAAUUUACUACAGGUCAAAACAUUCAAACCUAAGUUGGUUGCUGUAAGAAACGAAGCAUUAGUUGAUGAACUAAAAGAAGCCUUAGCUGAUUGCGAAGAGAAGCCAGAAAUUAUUCCUGGGGAGCAAGGAGUCAUAGAAGUAAGGCUUUUCUUAUGAUCCUAUUUCUGCGAAUAACUAAAGGUUUGCUCUGAAAAUUUCUCAAAUAUUCAACUUUUGAGUAAUAGGUCGCUCGACACCCAGAUGCAGUUACAGUUGUCACAGGGAUAGUAGGGUGUGCAGGGCUGAAGGUAAUGCCCCUUCUAUUUAGCAUAUUGCUCUUUGUGCUUUCCUUUAUGUUGGGUGUUCCAAGAAUCUAAUGCUUGUGUAUAAAUGAUAUUUAUAUGCCUAUAUGUAAUAUUUUCCUGUUGUUAGGUCAUAAAUUUAUCUGCACUAAGCUGUGGUUCUAGGAAUCUUUUUUUAAGAAAACAGAAAGCUGUCGUUCUGAAUUCUGAUGUCAUUUGGCUGCAUAAAUCUUUCCUUGUGAACAUGCUUGUAUUUCAUGAAUCAUGGCAAAUAUAUAGUAAGAAAAAUUGUCUAUGAAUUUUAACUAUUUUGGGUUGCUAUAUUUAUACAGUUAGAAUGUGUUAAAAAGGAGUUCAGGUAAUUUUGCCACAAUAAUAUGUAUAGAAUGAAGAUAAAUCUUUACUUCAUUUCCAGACAUAGAUAGGCAUCUCCAAUUCGAAUUUGAUGCAAAAAAAAGCAAUUGGUAGUGGUAUAUAUGUCAUUGUCCUAUUGCCUGCCAUAGUGCCAUAUUUUGUAUCUUCUAAGAACCGAGUUCCAUGGCCCCCUAUUUUUAUAUAGUGCAGUAUCAGCCUAUCAAGAUAAGUGGAGGACCAUCAUCACUAGGUGGUGAUACUUUUAGAUUGCCAAGUAUUUUAAUAUUAUCUUUUUUAUUUCCAUAUUAAUUUGAACUUUAUGUAAAUGGGUGCAGUAUGGUGCACCCAAAUAAAUGAGCAAUUUUAUCAGUGAAUAUAGCUGACUUGGUAACUCUGUAUUGUUCUGUUAGCCUACAGUUGCUGCAAUCGAAGCUGGUAAAGACAUAGCAUUGGCAAACAAGGAGACACUUAUUGCAGGUGGUCCUUUUGUGCUUCCCCUUGCACACAAACACAAUGUGAAAAUUCUUCCUGCUGAUUCUGAGCACUCUGCAAUAUUUCAGGUAUCUCACAAAAUGUUUACUUGUUGCUGCAGCUAUCUUUUUUAUCAUUAUGCAUGUUUGCUGUAAGGUUGGGAAAGAUACAUACUGGCUUUGGGGAGAAAAUGGCAAUUUGACCAUCCUCAAAACUGGUGUUUAAACGAAAUAACAAUACUGAACUUGAAAUAAUGUGGCAAUGCAUUUUAUGUUUUCUGGCAUUCUUUGCUUAUUAGAGUCUGCUUCCCUUGUACCAGUGUAUACAAGGCUUGUCCAAAGGAGCACUUCGUCGCAUUAUUCUAACUGCAUCAGGUGGUGCUUUCAGGCAAGUCCAUCCCUUAUGUGUUAUAUGUACUUCUGGAAACAUACAAAUCCAUCUCAUAUCAUUUGAUCAUGACAGGGACUGGCCAGUUGACAGGCUGAAAGAUGUAAAAGUUGCUGACGCUUUAAAGCAUCCAAACUGGAAUAUGGGAAAGAAGAUCACAGUAGAUUCUGCUACUUUAUUCAACAAGGUGUCUUAGAGCUCCAUUUUGUUUAAAAAAAAUUAUUUAAUCCAUAUUUCAUUAUAUUAAACGCUAAAGUGACGAUUUGGUCUUGUAGGGUUUAGAAGUUAUUGAAGCGCAUUAUUUAUUUGGUGCUGAAUAUGAUGACAUUGAGAUUGUGAUCCACCCACAGUCUAUCAUACACUCUAUGGUUGAAACCCAGGUGAGCCCAAGGUCAUAUGCUUUACUAAAAAGCACAUGUUGAGAUAUUCUGCCCAGAUGUAGUGCUAAUCCUCCUAUGCUGCAUAUUUUCAUUUCCACCUCAUUCUCUUGUAUUAGUGCAUGCCAGCAUCUGAGCAGAUCUCAAGUUUAUGAUUGUUUCAGGUCGUUAUGCUACAUGCAGAAUUGUUUCUGUAAUGGCUUUACAUAUGGUUUAGUAUUGUCUUUAGCAUUCAUGUUCUUUUUUCCCAGGAUUCAUCUGUCCUAGCUCAAUUGGGUUGGCCGGAUAUGCGGAUACCAAUCUUAUACACCUUAUCGUGGCCAGAUAGAAUCUAUUGCUCUGAGGUCACAUGGCCCCGCCUUGAUCUUUGCAAGUAUGACAUCUUCACAACUCCUGUCUACUUUUGCAGUACAGCUGAUGCUUUUAUUUGGAAAUAACCUCCAAGGAUUCAAGUCUUAUUUUUCUUGAUUACAGUAUGGGAUUGUUCUAAUAAGCUACUGGUAUAUGAUGGCAAUACUUGAUAGAUCUGUAUGGGUCAGGGGCACCUGAGUCAGCUGUUGGUGUGUGCAUUUGUGAACGAAUCUGACUUGGGUUUUGAACCAGCAAAUAUGACAACCAUCUCAUAAUUUUUAGGAAACAAAUUUGUGACUGUACUUCAACUGAAUUUUCCGAACAGCUCAUCAAGCUUGGACCUUGACCUAAACUCAUUGCAAUUCUGGUGUCUUUUUGAAUAGUUAUAUGUAUGACUUGAGUUGGUUGACUAGCCCACUUCUAGUUUAGUAAUAACCAAGUAGUAACCAUGGUUAGGUUGCUAAACAUGAACAUGCUUCAUUAAGGAUGUUAAGAAAACAAAAACAUGUUAUGAAACUAAACUUCACACGAUCUCUUAAAUAGUAAGCAUUCCAUGUUAACAGUUUUUGAGCAUUCAGAUUUAAGUUCCAAUUGGUUAAUACAGGUUGGGUUCACUGACGUUCAAAGCUCCUGACAAUGUAAAAUACCCAUCAAUGGACCUAGCGUAUGCAGCUGGGCGGGCUGGGGGCACCAUGACAGGAGUUCUGAGUGCUGCUAAUGAGAAGGCCGUGGAGUUGUUCAUUGAUGAAAAGUACGAUUCUUUUUGCUUAUCAGCUUUUGCCUGCUUUAUUCUAGAUAGAUCAUUGCAUAUUUUAUGUCAUCUUUUGAUUUGGUUUGUGAAAUAUUCUGAAAAUUUUAAGGCCAGAUACGUUAUGCUAAUUGCUGCAAUGAAAAAAAAACUUUGGGCUAACCAAAGUCCAUGGACAUCUACUGCACUUUACUUUAGAAAAGUGAGUUGGGACGAGAAUGUUUGUCCUUAGAGAUAUUAUUCUCAAGCACCUUUUGAGCCUACAUUAUGGAUUAGAAUAGCUAUAGAAUCUUGAUUUAAACUAUCUUUCCAUGUUUAAAUACAAGUUAAAUAUGCUGAGGGUCCUAAAGCUUUUCCUGGAUUCUCAUCUAGGUCCAUGAACUCUCAAAGGGAAGGUUUGAGUGAAUGCACUACCAAGAGAGAACCUAGAGUGAACCUGGUGUGAACCCGAUCCUCACUUUGAGAGUUUAUUAUAGGCCUACGUGAGGAUCAGGGAAAAGUUUAGGGCACUGGUGCUUUUCACUCUUUUAAGUACUUUAUCUUAACAAUGGUCUGCCUGCCAAUAUGAUGGUUUGGUUAUUGGGAUAGUGUCGGUCAUAGACAAGGGUUUUUCUCUGCAUGAGAAGAUAUUGAUUUAUACACUCAACUUGUCGAGGUAAAGCACCAUGCUCCAGAAUUUGAUAGAGAAAACUUCAUCAUGGCACAAGCAUAUGCUUUACACAAUUAGUUCAACUAGGAGGAAGGUCUGCAACUACAGCCAGUUGUUCAUCAGAGGGAAAGAAAGAACUAAUUUGCAAUCAUCCGUUAUAUAUUGAUAUUCAUACAAAGGAAGUCAGUUGACCUUUUAGUUUGGUUUACAGGAUUAGCUACCUGGACAUAUUCAAGGUGGUGGAACUUACAUGUGACGCGCAUCGGAACGAGCUGGUAAGAAGUCCUUCACUCGAGGAGAUCAUCCAUUAUGAUCUGUGGGCGAGGAGAUAUGCAGCUAGCCUACAACCAUCUUCUGGCCUGAGCCCUGUCCCU
rnacentral:lncRNA from 1 species